AGAAUCAACGCUGGCGGCGUGCCUAACACAUGCAAGUCGAACGCGAAAGCCCCGCAAGGGGCAAGUAGAGUGGCAAACGGGUGAGUAACACGUGGGUGACCUGCCUUCGAGCGGGGGAUAACGUCCCGAAAGGGACGCUAAUACCGCAUAACAUCCUGCCUUUGAAGAGGCGGAGAUCAAAGCUGGGGAUCGCAAGACCCGGCACUUGAAGAGGGGCCCGCGCCUGAUUAGCUAGUUGGUGGGGUAAUGGCCUACCAAGGCAACGAUCAGUAUCCGGCCUGAGAGGGCGGACGGACACACUGGGACUGAGACACGGCCCAGACUCCUACGGGAGGCAGCAGUGGGAAUUGUUCGCAAUGGGCGCAAGCCUGACGACGCAACGCCGCGUGGAGGAUGAAGAUUUCGGAUCGUAAACUCCGUAGUCGAAGUGGGACAACGAGAGUUGACGGGUUAACACGGUACCCGUAAGUCCUGAACCGGUAACCGUUAAACGGAAACCCCCGGCUAAACGUCCGUACGACC
rnacentral:rRNA from 1 species